AGCCCAUUUAUAGGGUAAGCGAAUGCAAUGUGUUCAGUGAAAAGAACACAGGCAGAACAUCUGCACAAGUGGAUAGCAAAGUAGUCAACUGGAGUAAAGAAAUGAAACUCAACCGGUGGUGAGUUUUGAGUGUCAGGACUGGUAAAAAGUUCCCAUUCCCUGGUUCACUGUGGUUUUGCUGAUGCAGCCACAGACUCUCUCCCAAGGCAGAACUGCAGGUGGAAGCCAGAACACGUACUAAUGAUUCUCUUUAGUGCCAAACUGCAUUUUGAGAGACUUGCCGAUUGCUAUUGCUAAAACCUCCAUCUAGAUCCUUCUCCCUUAAUUCAGUGCCACUUAAUAUGAUUCUAAUUGGCAAUGUGAGGCUUUUUUUUUUUUAAGGAAUAAAAUAAAGACAAAAGGCAAUCAUGGUGUUAGCAAGAAAUAUUCAAUAUAAUGUACUUUGAGUUGUUUCAACAUUACAACUUAACUAAAUUGACCUUGGUUAUUAGACCAAUUGAAUAGAGAUGUAUUACUCUAAUUUAACAAAGGAAUGAAAGAAUCAUUAAAACAUAAAAUUUAUGCAUGCACCCAGCUAACUACCUCUCUGUAGUUAAAUGUAAUUGCAGUUUUCCAGCAGAAGAAUUUGUGGAGGAUGAAAGUGCAAAGGAAUAAAAGCUUGGGAAAGUAGCUCCAAAUGGAUAGAAAAUAUAAAGUCAAUUAUCUCAAUGCCAAAAAAUCUGUGUCUUAUGAAAACUGGAGAUCUGCUGAACUUGAGAAGUGUUUACUUCGUGUUUCUCAGACAUGUUCUCAGUGUCAGUGGAAGAAUAACACGUAAAGAAGAAUUGUAUCACAUGUGUCUUGUAAUAUUGAGCUGGGAAGUGUUUAAAGAGUUCAUUUGGUCCAACCCUCUGUGUCCAAUCAGAUGGCUACUCCAAAAACUACAGGUACUGCUUGAAAUCAGUGGUUCCCAUCUACUUUACCAGCUCUUUCUUUUAUGUCAUCAGCAAUGCUCUAACAUUUUCCCAACAGCUAUUAAUUUAGCUUUACAUGUAUUAAAAAAAAUGGUUGAUUUAAAGGGGGAUUCGUUUGAAUUAGAAGCACUGAAAAAAAAAAAGAAAAUUGCAAAAGAAAAUCCUAGUGGUGUUCAUUCAGCCACCAUCCAGAGGAGGAGUGUUGUUUACCAGACCUAAUAUAUUCAGAUCACAUUGGGCAUGGCGUAUCUAUUCUGAGAUCUAUGUAUCAGGAAGACUUAGCUUGCAUACAUUAAACUUGAAAUUCAAUCGGCCGCUGAUUUAACACUCAUCAGAAAAUUUCUUUGAUCAUUUGGACUUCCAUGAAGCUCUGCUUACAAAGAGAAAGUAACUUUGCGUUGGACAGACCAUAAAACACAUGAUCAGUCAUAUCUAAUGUUUUAUUCUGAGAGAUCACAGCCUCUAGAAAUUCUUGUGCGUAGGAAAAGGGUGAAGCCACUUCGGUUCUCUAAUUGCAAGUGAUGGCCCUAAGGAGCUGCACCUGGGCCACGCAUGCGCAGACAUAGCCGGGAGCCAGAUAACGAAACUACCCGGAGAGGAUUCAGUCUCUUUGAGAGGGCAUGCCUCUGAGAUGCUUCUGGAGUGAGUGAGUCGUCAGCGUUGUUGGCGAAUCCUAUGGGUGAGGAGCCAUGCUUCCAGCAACUUUGGAGGCUUUUCAGUCUUAGAAGCCCUUUCACAAUUGAGAUUCUCCAUUUUUAAAGCCCCAGAGGCAAUCUGCAAAGUGAAAGUGACUAGAAGCACAGAUCCCUGGAACUCAGUAACGAGGAGGAAAAAUGGGCCUUCAUGUCCCAAGGAGUGUGAGACGUACUCACUCAUUCAUUCUGUUCUGAAUAUGAGAAGUUUCCUGUGCCCUAAGCUGGGAAAGCAGGAUAUACCACAGCUCUCCAUGAUAUCCUCCACCUCAGCCCUCAGAGGUUAAUGAGGGUAGAUACAAUUGAAUCCAGUAAGGAACCAGAACCUGUGCCAUCAACGUCGGGCGUGAGUGAAAUUUCAGCUUGCCUUCCGUCUCCUGUUGCUGACAGUCUCAGCUCUCCCACCUCCCACCUCCCCUUCCUCCUCCGGUCAAGAAGCUCACAGCCUGGGAGGAAAGGAAAACACCAAAAAUGUUAACUAUAAAUGCCUCAAGAAAAUUAGGUUCCAAGUUCAAUGAGACCUUAAGGGGAGAAUAAUUAAUUUUGUUUUAGAAGCUGCUAGGCAUCAAGGAGGGUAUGAUGUUUGAGAGACGUUCUAGUUCAAUAAAAAUUUUUUCAAACAGAUGGUUUUUAAAGGUAAAAUA